GAUGAACGCUGGCGGCGUGCCUAAUACAUGCAAGUCGAGCGAACGGACGAGAAGCUUGCUUCUCUGAUGUUAGCGGCGGACGGGUGAGUAACACGUGGAUAACCUACCUAUAAGACUGGGAUAACUUCGGGAAACCGGAGCUAAUACCGGAUAAUAUUUUGAACCGCAUGGUUCAAAAGUGAAAGACGGUCUUGCUGUCACUUAUAGAUGGAUCCGCGCUGCAUUAGUUAGUUGGUAAGGUAACGGCUUACCAAGGCAACGAUGCAUAGCCGACCUGAGAGGGUGAUCGGCCACACUGGAACUGAGACACGGUCCAGACUCCUACGGGAGGCAGCAGUAGGGAAUCUUCCGCAAUGGGCGAAAGCCUGACGGAGCAACGCCGCGUGAGUGAUGAAGGUCUUCGGAUCGUAAAACUCUGUUAUUAGGGAAGAACAUAUGUGUAAGUAACUGUGCACAUCUUGACGGUACCUAAUCAGAAAGCCACGGCUAACUACGUGCCAGCAGCCGCGGUAAUACGUAGGUGGCAAGCGUUAUCCGGAAUUAUUGGGCGUAAAGCGCGCGUAGGCGGUUUUUUAAGUCUGAUGUGAAAGCCCACGGCUCAACCGUGGAGGGUCAUUGGAAACUGGAAAACUUGAGUGCAGAAGAGGAAAGUGGAAUUCCAUGUGUAGCGGUGAAAUGCGCAGAGAUAUGGAGGAACACCAGUGGCGAAGGCGACUUUCUGGUCUGUAACUGACGCUGAUGUGCGAAAGCGUGGGGAUCAAACAGGAUUAGAUACCCUGGUAGUCCACGCCGUAAACGAUGAGUGCUAAGUGUUAGGGGGUUUCCGCCCCUUAGUGCUGCAGCUAACGCAUUAAGCACUCCGCCUGGGGAGUACGACCGCAAGGUUGAAACUCAAAGGAAUUGACGGGGACCCGCACAAGCGGUGGAGCAUGUGGUUUAAUUCGAAGCAACGCGAAGAACCUUACCAAGUCUUGACAUCCUUUGACAACUCUAGAGAUAGAGCCUUCCCCUUCGGGGGACAAAGUGACAGGUGGUGCAUGGUUGUCGUCAGCUCGUGUCGUGAGAUGUUGGGUUAAGUCCCGCAACGAGCGCAACCCUUAAGCUUAGUUGCCAUCAUUAAGUUGGGCACUCUAAGUUGACUGCCGGUGACAAACCGGAGGAAGGUGGGGAUGACGUCAAAUCAUCAUGCCCCUUAUGAUUUGGGCUACACACGUGCUACAAUGGACAAUACAAAGGGCAGCGAAACCGCGAGGUCAAGCAAAUCCCAUAAAGUUGUUCUCAGUUCGGAUUGUAGUCUGCAACUCGACUACAUGAAGCUGGAAUCGCUAGUAAUCGUAGAUCAGCAUGCUACGGUGAAUACGUUCCCGGGUCU
rnacentral:rRNA from 1 species